rnacentral:rRNA from 1 species
CUCGUAGGCGGUUCGUCGCGUCCGGUGUGAAAGUCCAUCGCUUAACGGUGGAUCCGCGCCGGGUACGGGCGGGCUUGAGUGCGGUAGGGGGGACUGGAAUUCCCGGUGUAACGGUGGAAUGUGUAGAUAUCGGGAAGAACACCAAUGGCGAAGGCAGGUCUCUGGGCCGUCACUGACGCUGAGGAGCGAAAGCGUGGGGAGCGAACA